UACUGCAUUUUUUCUUACACAUGUGUUUUUCUUUUUGAAAACUUUGCUUGGUAGGCCUUCUAUAUGGGGCCUGCCAGAGAUUAAACUCAACCAAAUUUUAUUUAAUGUCAACCGAUUAUUUAAUAGUCAAAACUUUCAACAACGGAUCUCUUGGUUCUCGCAUCGAUGAAGAACGCAGCGAAAUGCGAUAAGUAAUAUGAAUUGCAGAUAUUCGUGAAUCAUCGAAUCUUUGAACGCACAUUGCGCCCUUUGGUAUUCCAAAGGGCAUGCCUGUUUGAGCGUCAUUUCUCCCUCAAACCCUCGGGUUUGGUGUUGAGCGAUACGCUGGGUUUGCUUGAAAGAAAGGCGGAGUAUAAACUAAUGGAUAGGUUUUUUCCACUCAUUGGUACAAACUCCAAAACUUCUUCCAAAUUCGACCUCAAAUCAGGUAGGACUACCCGCUGAACUUAAGCAUAUCAAUAAGCGGGAG
rnacentral:rRNA from 1 species